GAUUACCUGAGAUGUUCGCUAGUGGGUUACGUCCCUGAGCCGAUACUUAACAUCUUAUGAAUCGGUUUCCUAUUGUUGGUGUGCAAGCUUACCUUGGCGCAAGCCCUGAUGUAAGAAGCCUAAAAACGAUAACGACUGAUUCCCUUGAACCGUAGGGUUCAAGGACCGACCACUCACAACGGCAUCUCGGGUUCUUC
rnacentral:other from 1 species